rnacentral:rRNA from 1 species
AUACGGAGGGUGCAAGCGUUACUCGGAAUCACUGGGCGUAAAGCGCGCGCAGGCGGUCUUUUAAGUUGGAUGUGAAAGCCUACAGCUCAACUGUAGAACUGCAUCCAAAACUAUUAGACUAGAGUCUGGGAGGGGAAGAUGGAAUUAGUUGUGUAGGGGUAAAAUCCGUAGAGAUAACUAGGAAUACCAAAAGCGAAGGCGAUCUUCUGGAACAGUACUGACGCUGAGGCGCGAAAGCGUGGGGAGCAAACAGGAUUAGAAACCCUUGUAGUCC